rnacentral:tRNA from 1 species
UAGUUUAGCUGGUAGAACAUAAGGCUCUUAACCUUGUUGUUGUGGGUUCAAGCCUCAU